rnacentral:lncRNA from 1 species
AGAAAAAUAAAGGAAGUAGGAGGAAAAUAAAUGAAGUAGGAGGAAGAAAAAUAAAUGAAGUAGAAGAAAAAUAAAUGAAGUAGGAGGCCUGAGUUACUGUUGUUGUCAAAACAACGUUUGAGACACAUAUGCAAUUUUUUUUAAUAGCAGAUGUAUGCAAUAAUAUAUAUUGUUAUGGACUAGGCUUAUGACUCAAUCGCCGAGGAAAUCCUCCUCUUGAACCUUUAUAAAUUAGAUAAAUUUAUAAAUAAAGUUCUUUUAAGAUUAAAGUUUUUUUUUUUUACAAUAAACUGAGGAUCGAUCCCAGCACCUAUAACGUACUACUCAAACCCCUCACCACUAGACCAAACCUAGUGGCUUGAGAUUUAUUUAAUUAAAGUUGUGCUUAUUUAUAAGCAUAACUUUAAAUCAUCUUUUGUUCAAUAUGAGACUUUUAACACUAAACCAUAAACUCAUAUAAAAUAGAUAACGAAAAGUUAAAUUUAGAUUAAGAGAGAUCUACCAUUAUAUUUAGUACACCAUUAUUCCAGCUUUUGAUUAGCUAGAUUCUUGCUUACCAUAGUUUUGCUAUUUCUAUUCAAUAUCUCUUCCAAAAACAAAACAAUGAAGACAUGUAAUUUCAUUAUAUAUAGAUUUUUUUUUAUAAGCAACAUUAUAUAUAGAUAUAAUGAGGGACACCAUCUCCCUGUGUUUGUUAAUGUUUAUAAUUUGUGGAUAUGCAAUUUCUAUUAUCAACUAAUUAUAAUAUUUGUCGUAAUUUUGUCUACCUCAAGAAUUAACUUUUUUUUUUUUAACUAAACCUCAUGAAUUAACUUAUGAAAAAUCAUUUGAAUUUUUUCUUUGAUUUUGAAUUUUUACAUGUCUUGGCAUUUUCAAAAUUUCAAAAAUAUUUAUUUUGCUAAAAAAUUUACCGUGAGCCGAAUACUACUCAUUUAAGUGCAAAUUUAAAGACUCGGUGAGAUAAUAUGACAUAACUCUUUCAAGAUCAAAGUUUCACAAUACCAAUCGUUAGUUAGUUAGUUAGUUAGUUAGUUAGUUAGUUAGUUAGUUAGUUAGUUAGUUAGUUUAGUCGUAGGGAGAAUCACAGUUCGAUUUCCCAGCCUGCAACUACGACCGAGAGGGGCUGAACUGAAACAAUCCCCAAAAUUCAUUAGACGGUUCAGACCGAAUAUCAAUAGUGAAAAUAAACCUAAAAAAAAAAUUACACAAUUGUCUGUAUUUUGGGUGAUAAAAGUAUAAAUAUUCUAGAAAACGGAUACUUUUCAAAUGAAUAUUUUGCCGCAAAGUAUUUAAUUACAUAAAUUUUAGUUAACAUCAACUAAGAUAUUGAGCUAAAGUGAUAAUAAAUUUUUCUUUGAACAAAUCGUUCGAAAGAACUCGAGUUCGAUUCCUGUUAGAAACAAUUUUUAAUUAAGAUUUGCUUAUUUUGAAGUUGAAUUCUUGAUUACCGAUGCUCCCUUCCUUUAAAAAUCAGAGGGUUAAAAAUUAGUUAAAGUCAAAUCAUUUCAAGCCAAUGUUUGUUCAAGUCCUCAAUGAAAUUAUCUAUUCUCAAACUUACUUGACUUUGACUGAUCUUCGAAUUACCAAAGCUUCGUUCUCUUAAAAGCUAGAGAAUCAAGAGAAAACAAGUAAUUAAUCAGAAGUAAGUGCCUUUUAACGUUAAAAAAACUAUUGGUUGUUUACAAAUAGAACUAUUGUUUUUAAUCAAGAAUACAUCAGCUGGGAUGAUAUUUUUUUUUGUCAGGUGAUUUAGUGGCUACACUACAUGGAUCUACUCAGAAAAUUCUUUGAUAUUUUUGCUUGAAACUACACUAAAUUGGACUAGACCGAAAGAAAAAUUAGUUAGCUCAGACUCAGGGCGUGAAAGAAAUUAAAUAGUAAAGAAAGGUUGUUACUUCACUCGGUCAAUGAGGAUAAACCAUUGUAUCUCACUUUUUACACCUCACUUCAAGCUUAAAUCUCCGUCUAUAAUCGGCUUCCUUUCUCGGUAUCGUGAGUCUAAACUCAUUAAGACAGUAGAGACGACCAAAAGUUGAAGUGACAUCUUUGACAUGCCGAGGUGCGUAAUGCAGGAAGUGACAUCUUUACCGAAAGUUGAAGUAAUUCCCCCAGCCAUCCCCAGUUUAGAGAUUUUGUCAACGAGGUCAUGCUCUUUGAGAGAAUCAUUUUGAUAUGUUAAAGUACCUUAACAAAUAUCUACUAAUCCGAUAUUAUUGGAUGUUUGUAAGAAACUAUGUUUUUGUCAUAUAUUUAGUUGUUAGAAUUUCACCAUUUAAGGUACAUAAGUGUAUAUAACAAAGUACAAAUUUCAUUCCUACACAUUACAUACAAUAUCCUUACCAACUAAGUUAUGAGCAUGAACGCACGGUACUUGUAAGAAAAGUUUUACAUGCAUCACAAAUGCCAAGAUAUGCAUUGAAAAAUAAUC